AUCGUCAACAUAUCUGAAGACUUUAACUACAUGCCAAUCAGGUAGGCAUUCCAAAACUAAUGCCUACCUGAUUGGCAUGUAGUUAAAGUCUUCAGAUAUGUUGACGAUUAU
rnacentral:pre_miRNA from 1 species